GUUACAUUCCGAACCCGGAAGCUAAGCCUUUCAGCGCCGAUGGUACUGCAUGGGGGACCGUGUGGGAGAGUAGGACGCCGCCGAAC
rnacentral:rRNA from 1 species